rnacentral:rRNA from 1 species
AACGAACGCUGGCGGCGUGCUUAAUACAUGCAAGUCGAACGUGAAGUCUUCAGCAAUGGAGAUGGAAAGUGGCGAACGGGUGAGUAACACGUAAGUAAUCUGCCUCUAAGACUGGGAUAACCUUGCCAACGCGGGGCUAAUACCGGAUGUGGUCCCGAUAAUGCAUAUUGUCGGGAUUAAAGGAGCGAUCCGCUUAGAGAUGAGCUUGCGGCCCAUUAGCUAGUUGGUGCGGGUAAUGGCCCACCAAGGCUGCGAUGGGUAGCCGGCCUGAGAGGGUGAUCGGCCACAUUGGGACUGAGAUACGGCCCAGACUCCUACGGGAGGCAGCAGUAGGGAAUUUUGCGCAAUGGGCGAAAGCCUGACGCAGCAACGCCGCGUGAGGGAUGACGGCCUUCGGUUGUAACCGUCUGUUGAGUGGAAAAGGGUAAGGACGAAUACUUGUAUGGUACCGAUUCGAGUAAGACACCGGCUAACUACGUAGCCAGCAGCCGCGGU